UAUUUGCAGCUACUCUUCCAGCCAAGGAGAAAUAGGCAAGACAAGGCCCAUGUCUUGCUUGCAGGAUGGAAAGCUGGAUUCCAGUGCCUUCUCCACUCACUCCACUUCCUCUCCAAGCAUUUGAAACUGUGCUCUGCUAUAGGCAGAUUCUGUUCUGCUGACCCCCUAGGGAGGCCUGGCAUCAUCACCUACCCAGGUACUGGACACAUCCUCUACACCAUCUUCACAACCAAAUUAAAUGGACUAAGUGGCUGGAUCAUCUACUACAUUGGCUGGAGAAGGCUUUUUAAUCUAGCAGCCAAAAACAAAAUGAGCUUGGAUGACUAUGUGCAGAAGCUAGACACUUGUGUUUCAUUUUGGUUUUGUUCUGAACAGUCCUAGUUCAAUACUCAGCGCAUUAAAUAAGUCUCAACUGCCACAUUUUUUUUUGAGGGAAACACAUCAGUUUACACCUCAAGGAGGACAUCUUUCAAAUUCUCAGUGAGAAAAUGGGCAUGUCAUGGAAACCCAAUGGGAAAGAAAACACUGUGUCACUUAGGAUCUGAAAUAAAGAGAUGGAAAUAAGAAUAGAGGAAGACUGA
rnacentral:lncRNA from 1 species